AGCGCCAUCUUCUAACGGCAAUAGCGAUAGCGAGGGCGGCUCCUCACACCUCCCUGUCUCCUAAAAGGUGAACUGCUUUGUUCCACCAUGCAUUCCCUGACAUGGUGUUCAGUAGACCCAACAAUGGAACCAGGAAACCUUGAGCAGAAACCUACAAAAUCAUCAGACAAAGUAUUUAUCAUAGACAUAAAAAAUGGGCCUACAGUCAUACUACCUUGCAUUCACUGAUCUCACCUAAUCACAAAAGCUAAGCAGUUUGGAACCCAGUUAAUAUUUGGAUAAGAGAGAAAAAAUAUGACAAAUGGAAGUCAAACAUAUAAGGUUUCUGGAUACUACACAAUUUGUCUCUCGUCAUAUAGGUCCAAGAUCUGGGUAUCAAGGCAAGCUCCACAGCCUGGGGAUACAGUUAUGAGGAGUAACAGAAAAUGAAAGUCUAGGAGUGGCACUGUAUGUCACUGUGGAGGUCGGCUUUGCGGUCUCAUAUGCUCAAGCUAAACCCAGUAUGGGACACAGUAUACCUCUGCUGCCUGUGGAUCAAGAUGUAGAACUCUCAACUCCUUCUCCAGCACCGUGUCUCUGCAUGCGUACUGACAUUUUUUCUGACAUGAUGAUUGAUAAUGAACCAAACCUCUGAAACUAUAAGUCAGUCCCAAUUAAAUGUUUCCUUUUAUGAGUGUUGCCGUGGUUAUGGUGUCUCAUCAUAGCAAUAGAAACCCUAACUAAGGCACAGUCUAACUGGUGAGAGAACCUCUAAACACCACGCCUCCCCACAGAACCAAUAAAAGGAAUAGAGAUUUAUACAUCCAAAUACGC